CAAGAAAUAGUUUAAUUAAAAUAAUAAUUUUGGGGAUUAUUGAUGUUUUGAAAAAAAUUUUUUUGA
rnacentral:tRNA from 2 species